ensembl:lncRNA
AUGCAAUCUUAUAUGCACAUAAUGCAGAAUGAAAAGUUAUUUUCUAUGGAAAAUUUAAACCGAAACCUACAAUAUUACAGUGAUGAACUUCCUUCAUUGCUGAAUGGUCCCAGUCCAAUGUGAAGACACUGUAUGUUUGUUUUGGUUUAUUAAAAUAUAGAAUGAAAUAUCUGCUUAAACACUUGCAAAUUUUAGAUAAUGUUUGAAACUCUGCAGAUUUCAGUUCAGUGUCAGGAUGACCAAUUCGGGUUGGAUGCUGAAGUGGUUUAUGAUGAAAAAUUCUUUCCCUUACGAAGGUGCAAUCCAUUUGUGACUGGGUCAUAUCACAGGGGACGAGUUCCUGGGCAGAAUCAGGAUACUGGCGUGUCUCCAGGAUUCAUAGCACCUGAUGGCAUGGGCGGCAAUGGCCAAGAGCUGAUGAACAGAGAUGAACGCUAUAAAAAAGAGAAGCGUGUGCAUCCAAAGGGAAAGAAGAAAAAGGUUAAGAGAGGCGAGAACACAGCUUCACCAUUAAAGAGGAAAAUCAUCCAGUCAGCAUCUGACAGUAACGAAAUGUGAUUUGAUUAAUAAGAUAAAUAACACCUAUUUUCUUGUUUAAAGUGAUAGUUCACCCAAAAAUUCUGUCAUUAAUUACUCACCCUCAUGUUGUUUCAAACCCGUAAGACCUUUGUUCACCUUUGGGACACAAACUAAGUUAUUUUUGAUGAAAUGCGAGAGCUGUCUGACCCUGAAUAGACAGCAACGGAACUAUCACGUUCAAGCCCAGAAAGGUAGUAAGAACAAUCAUUAAAAUAGUCCAUGCGGCAUCAGUGAUGGACAGCGUUGCUGUCUAUGCAGGGUCAGACAGCUCUCGGAUUUUAUCGAUAGCUUAGUUUGUGUUCUGAAGAUGAAUGAAGGUCUUACAGGUUUGGAACGACACAAGGGUAAUUAAUUACAGAAUUUUCAUUUUUGGGUGAACUGUCCCUUUAACGUAGCAUACACACUGCUUUUCUAUAAGCUUAAGCAGCACUUAAAAGCUUUAUAAACUUUGAAUCUAUAACUCUAACUUUCUGUACUCUUUAAAUAAAUUCUUUCAAAAGGAC